rnacentral:rRNA from 1 species
AGCGAACGUUUGCGGCGGGCCUAACACAUGCAAGUCGAACGCACUAGCAAUAGUGAGUGGCGCACGGGUGCGUAACACGUGGGUAAUCAACCCUUCAGCUUGGGAUAACGACUUGAAAGGGUCGCUAAUACCGGAUACGGCGAGGAAGGCUUCGGCUUUUCUCGAGAAAGCCUCGCAAGGGGCACUGAAGGACGAGCCUGCGGCCCAUCAGCUAGUUGGUGAGGUAAGAGCUCACCAAGGCGAAGACGGGUAGCUGGUCUGAGAGGAUGAUCAGCCACACUGGAACUGAGACACGGUCCAGACUCCUACGGGAGGCUG